rnacentral:misc_RNA from 1 species
AAUUGUUUAGGACAGGGUAUCAUUGUAAUUGCUGGUUCAAUGAUUGUGGAGUUAUUUCUGUGUUUGAUUGUUAAGAAAUUUGGGAAACCAGUGGAAAAGUUGUAAUUUUGUGACAAUAGAAUCAGUUAAUAUCUAAUUCAAUACUUAUGUUAGUGGGAAUGACAAAUGUGCAUUGAAAGUGUGAAUAUGGGUAAAUAUGUUGAUCUGGCCUCAUAAUGGCAUAUGUGCAACGUUAUAAUCCCUUUGCUACCUUCUAAUACCUGGAAUAUUUUGCAUUUGCUUAUAUGUGAAAUGAAGCUGAUUCACUGCAGACAUGCUAAUGUAUGCUUGGGUUUUCACUUAUCAGCCAAUUUGAUCAGCAUAUUCCAUUCGAUCCUAGGGUUGACUUUUUCUCAUGUAUUCUGAAUAAUUUCUGUAUAUGGAAACUUGCGUUGAGAAUCAGAAUUUG